rnacentral:misc_RNA from 1 species
UAUUGGGUCCAAAAUACGGUGCUUUCUUUGUUUGUGGAUCUUUGGGAGGCAAAUACACCCCUGGCUUGCCAUCUUUGACCACCAUUAAACAGGUUUAUAAACUCCAAUAUGUCAACCCAGAUACUAGAAUUUUUGGUGUUAUCUCAAAUCCUGUUGGCCAUAGCAAGGGACCCCUUCUACACAACCCCGCCUUUAGGCAUACAG